AUUGAACGCUGGCGGCAUGCCUUACACAUGCAAGUCGAACGGCAGCACGGGAGCAAUCCUGGUGGCGAGUGGCGAACGGGUGAGUAAUAUAUCGGAACGUGCCCAGUCGUGGGGGAUAACGUAGCGAAAGCUACGCUAAUACCGCAUACGAUCUACGGAUGAAAGCGGGGGAUCACAAGACCUCGCGCGAUUGGAGCGGCCGAUAUCAGAUUAGGUAGUUGGUGAGGUAAAGGCUCACCAAGCCGACGAUCUGUAGCUGGUCUGAGAGGACGACCCAGCCACACUGGGACUGAGACACGGCCCAGACUCCUACGGGAGGCAGCAGUGGGGAAUUUUGGACAAUGGGCGCAAGCCUGAUCCAGCAAUGCCGCGUGCAGGAUGAAGGCC
rnacentral:rRNA from 1 species